rnacentral:rRNA from 1 species
GGAGAGUUUGAUCCUGGCUCAGGAUGAACGCUAGCGGCAGGCUUAACACAUGCAAGUCGAGGGGCAGCAUAAUGGAUAGCAAUAUCUAUGGUGGCGACCGGCGCACGGGUGCGUAACGCGUAUGCAACCUACCUUUAACAGGGGGAUAACACUGAGAAAUUGGUACUAAUACCCCAUAAUAUCAUAGAAGGCAUCUUUUAUGGUUGAAAAUUCCGAUGGUUAGAGAUGGGCAUGCGUUGUAUUAGCUAGUUGGUGGGGUAACGGCUCACCAAGGCGACGAUACAUAGGGGGACUGAGAGGUUAACCCCCCACACUGGUACUGAGACACGGACCAGACUCCUACGGGAGGCAGCAGUGAGGAAUAUUGGUCAAUGGACGCAAGUCUGAACCAGCCAUGCCGCGUGCAGGAUGACGGCUCUAUGAGUUGUAAACUGCUUUUGUACGAGGGUAAACGCAGAUACGUGUAUCUGUCUGAAAGUAUCGUACGAAUAAGGAUCGGCUAACUCCGUGCCAGCAGCCGCGGUAAUACGGAGGAUUCAAGCGUUAUCCGGAUUUAUUGGGUUUAAAGGGUGCGUAGGCGGUUUGAUAAGUUAGAGGUGAAAUCCCGGGGCUUAACUCCGGAACUGCCUCUAAUACUGUUAGACUAGAGAGUAGUUGCGGUAGGCGGAAUGUAUGGUGUAGCGGUGAAAUGCUUAGAGAUCAUACAGAACACCGAUUGCGAAGGCAGCUUACCAAACUAUAUCUGACGUUGAGGCACGAAAGCGUGGGGAGCAAACAGGAUUAGAUACCCUGGUAGUCCACGCAGUAAACGAUGAUAACUCGUUGUCGGCGAUACACAGUCGGUGACUAAGCGAAAGCGAUAAGUUAUCCACCUGGGGAGUACGUUCGCAAGAAUGAAACUCAAAGGAAUUGACGGGGGCCCGCACAAGCGGAGGAACAUGUGGUUUAAUUCGAUGAUACGCGAGGAACCUUACCCGGGCUUGAAAGUUACUGACGAUUCUGGAAACAGGAUUUCCCUUCGGGGCAGGAAACUAGGUGCUGCAUGGUUGUCGUCAGCUCGUGCCGUGAGGUGUCGGGUUAAGUCCCAUAACGAGCGCAACCCCUACCGUUAGUUGCCAUCAGGUCAAGCUGGGCACUCUGGCGGGACUGCCGGUGUAAGCCGAGAGGAAGGUGGGGAUGACGUCAAAUCAGCACGGCCCUUACGUCCGGGGCUACACA